AGUGAACGCUGGCGGCGUGCUUAACACAUGCAAGUCGAACGAGAACGGAUUAUAGCUUGCUAUAAUUGUCAGCUAAGUGGCGCACGGGUGAGUAAUGUAUAGGUAAUAUGCCUCUUACUAAUGGAUAACAAAUGGAAACGUUUGCUAAUACCUUAUACUCCUUAUUAACAGAAGUUAAUAAGGGAAAGAUUUAUUGGUAAGAGAUUAGCCUGUAUUGUAUCAGUUAGUUGGUGGGGUAAUGGCUUACCAAGACUAUGACACAAAACUGGUUUGAGAGGAUGAUCAGUCACACUGGAACUGAGACACGGUCCAGACUCCUACGGGAGGCAGAAGUGGGGAAUAUUGCACAAUGGACGAAAGUCUGAUGCAGCAACGCCGCGUGGAGGAUGACACAUUUCGGUGCGUAAACUCCUUUUAUAUGAGAAGAUAAUGACGGUAUUAUAUGAAUGAGCACCGGCUAACUCCGUGCCAGCAGCCGCCGUAA
rnacentral:rRNA from 1 species